CCCCGGGACUGCUUUGGAAACUGUAGGACUAGAGUGCAGGAGAGGUAAGUGGAAUUCCUAGUGUAGCGGUGAAAUGCGUAGAUAUUAGGAGGAACACCAGUGGCGAAGGCGGCUUACUGGACUGUAACUGACGUUGAGGCUCGAAAGCGUGGGGAGCAAACAGGAUUAGAUACCCUGGUAGUCCGCGCCGUAAACGAUGAUUACUAGGUGUUGGUGGGUAUGACCCAUCGGUGCCGCAGCAAACGCAAUAAGUAAUCCACCUGGGGAGUACGUUCGCAAGAAUGAAACUCAAAGGAAUUGACGGGGUCCCGCACAAGCGGUGGAGCAUGUGGUUUAAUUCGAAGCAACGCGAAGAACCUUACCUGGUCUUGACAUCCCUAUGAAUAACGGGCAAUGCCGUUAGUACUUCGGUACAUAGGAGACAGGUGGUGCAUGGUUGUCGUCAGCUCGUGUCGUGAGAUGUUGGGUUAAGUCCCGCAACGAGCGCAACCCUUAUCUUUAGUAGCCAGCAGUAAGAUGGGCACUCUAGAGAGACUGCCGGGGAUAACCCGGAGGAAGGUGGGGAUGACGUCAAAUCAUCAUGCCCCUUAUGACCAGGGCUACACACGUGCUACAAUGGCGUAAACAAAGAGAAGCGAAGUCGUGAGGCAGAGCGAAUCUCAAAAAUAACGUCUCAGUUCGGAUUGUAGUCUGCAACUCGACUACAUGAAGCUGGAAUCGCUAGUAAUCGCAGAUCAGAAUGCUGCGGUGAAUACGUUCCCGGGUCUUGUACACACCGCCCGUCACACCAUGGGAGUCGGAAAUGCCCGAAGUCGGUGACCUAACCGCAAGGAAGGAGCCGCCGAAGGCAGGUCUGAUAACUGGGGUGAAGUCGUAACAAGGUAACCGUA
rnacentral:rRNA from 1 species